rnacentral:rRNA from 1 species
UACGGAGGGUGCGAGCGUUAAUCGGAAUUACUGGGCGUAAAGCGCACGCAGGCGGUUUGUUAAGCAAGAUGUGAAAGCCCCCGGGCUCAACCUGGGAACUGCAUUUUGAACUGGCAGACUAGAUCUUGGAGAGGGGGGGUGGAAUUCCAGGUGUAGCGGUGAAAUGCGUAGAAUGAGACUGA